rnacentral:lncRNA from 1 species
GCCUCUCGCGAAGGGAUGAAGAACCUCCGCGCAAGACACCCCUUCUGUCUGGGAUCAGCCCUUGUCCGGCGCGAACACAUUUUGAAAGAAAAAAAAAAGCAUGGAUCUGGGAUUUUUUUUCUUUUUUCCUUUUUCUUUCAAGCUGAAUACUGUUAUCUUUGCCUUCCAGGCGGAAGGUCGGUUCCAACCCUUCUUUCCUGAGCUUCUCCUUCGCGAACGGGGGACCAUCGCUGAUGCUUCCUCCUGAGUUGGGAAAGGGAUAGAACUUUCCCAGGGAGGUGCGGAGUGUCCCCGCUGCGCUUUCCCGGUUCCUUUCCCCCAGAAGAGAUCCUGUUGCACCGGAGGGAACGUGCCCCAUUUCUCUGCGCCCCACCCACCCCCAAAUGACGGCGGAGACGGAAGGCAGCUUCUGUGUUUGUUUUGUAAACCUUUAAAACCCACUGCACUUAGCGCUUUGCGAGCCCCCUUGGCCUUCGCCCAAAGCAAGCCGUAAAGAGGUCGGGGAGCUCAGCGGACUGGGUGGGAGAGGGAGGCGACCUGCGCUGCCGCGACGAAGUGGGUCUUGAAGGGUGCGACCUCUCCCUCCGGGACUGGGCGUGUCCCUUAACCUCUCCCAACCCUAUCACCCUGCUGACCCCGGCUGGGCUCGCGGACGCGACUGGCAGGAGUGCGAGACCGCGUCCUCACGCCGGGGGACGCCGGCCACGGCCUCAGGCUCCGGGAGCAAGGCGCCCCGCGCGCGGGCACGCGACGGCCAGAGCGCCCAGGCGGUACCUUCAGCAGAGCAAUGAAGAGAGCCGGGGAGAAGCAACCGCAGCCGGCCGAGACGUUCCCUGCGCCCGGGGUUGCUGCCGCCGCUGUGGCUGCCUGAAACUCCCCAAAGUUGCGAGCCAGCGAGAGGCUGCCGCCCGCCGGGAGCUAAAGGGAAAGGAACGCGUAAGAUGCCGGAGUGACAGACAGACAGACGCACAGACCUGCAGAAGACACCACCGUCGGCGGCCUAUCCCCGGAGCCCGUGAGGCUUCCCAGCUCCGUUCACUGGUGGGAGGCUGAGCUGGUGGAAAAGGCGCCUGGAA